rnacentral:rRNA from 1 species
ACGGGAGGCAGCAGUGAGGAAUAUUGGUCAAUGGGCGGAAGCCUGAACCAGCCAAGUAGCGUGCAGGAUGACGGCCCUAUGGGUUGUAAACUGCUUUUGUGCGGGGAUAAAAAGCGGGACGUGUCCCGCCUUGUAGGUACCGCAAGAAAAAGGACCGGCUAAUUCCGUGCCAGCAGCCGCGGUAAUACGGAAGGUCCGGGCGUUAUCCGGAUUUAUUGGGUUUAAAGGGUGCGCAGGCGGGAUGUCAAGUCAGUGGUGAAAUGGUGCGGCUCAACCGUAGCAUUGCCGUUGAAACUGGCGUCCUUGAGUGCGAAUGAGGUACGCGGAACGUGUCAUGUAGCGGUGAAAUGCAUAGAUAUGACACAGAACACCGAUUGCGAAGGCAGCGUACUGGGACGCGACUGACGCUGAGGCACGAAAGUGCGGGGAUCGAACAGGAUUAGAUACCCUGGUA